AGCGCAACCCUUAUUGUUAGUUGCUACUAUUAAGUUAAGCACUCUAACGAGACUGCCGCGGUUAACGUGGAGGAAGGUGGGGAUGACGUCAAAUCAUCAUGCCCCUUAUGUCUAGGGCUACACACGUGCUACAAUGGCUGGUACAACGAGCAGCAAACCCGCGAGGGGGAGCAAAACUUGAAAGCCAGUCCCAGUUCGGAUUGUAGGCUGAAACUCGCCUACAUGAAGUUGGAGUUGCUAGUAAUCGCGAAUCAGCAUGUCGCGGUGAAUACGUUCCCGGGUCUUGUACACACCGCCCGUCACACCAUGAGAGCCGGUAACACCCGAAGCCCGUGAGGUAACCGUAAGGAGCCAGCGGUCGAAGGUGGGAUUGGUGAUUGGGGUGAAGUCGUAACAAGGUAGCCGUAGGAGAACCUGCGGCUGGAUCACCUCCUUUCUAGGGA
rnacentral:rRNA from 1 species